GAGUAAUGUCUGGGAAACUGCCUGAUGGAGGGGGAUAACUACUGGAAACGGUGGCUAAUACCGCAUAACGUCGCAAGACCAAAGAGGGGGACCUUCGGGCCUCUUGCCAUCAGAUGUGCCCAGAUGGGAUUAGCUUGUUGGUGAGGUAACGGCUCACCAAGGCGACGAUCCCUAGCUGGUCUGAGAGGAUGACCAGCCACACUGGAACUGAGACACGGUCCAGACUCCUACGGGAGGCAGCAGUGGGGAAUAUUGCACAAUGGGCGCAAGCCUGAUGCAGCCAUGCCGCGUGUAUGAAGAAGGCCUUCGGGUUGUAAAGUACUUUCAGCGGGGAGGAAGGUGUUGUGGUUAAUAACCGCAGCAAUUGACGUUACCCGCAGAAGAAGCACCGGCUAACUCCGUGCCAGCAGCCGCGGUAAUACGGAGGGUGCAAGCGUUAAUCGGAAUUACUGGGCGUAAAGCGCACGCAGGCGGUCUGUCAAGUCGGAUGUGAAAUCCCCGGGCUCAACCUGGGAACUGCAUUCGAAACUGGCAGGCUUGAGUCUUGUAGAGGGGGGUAGAAUUCCAGGUGUAGCGGUGAAAUGCGUAGAGAUCUGGAGGAAUACCGGUGGCGAAGGCGGCCCCCUGGACAAAGACUGACGCUCAGGUGCGAAAGCGUGGGGAGCAAACAGGAUUAGAUACCCUGGUAGUCCACGCCGUAAACGAUGUCUACUUGGAGGUUGUGCCCUUGAGGCGUGGCUUCCGGAGCUAACGCGUUAAGUAGACCGCCUGGGGAGUACGGCCGCAAGGUUAAAACUCAAAUGAAUUGACGGGGGCCCGCACAAGCGGUGGAGCAUGUGGUUUAAUUCGAUGCAACGCGAAGAACCUUACCUGGUCUUGACAUCCACAGAAGAAUCCAGAGAUGGAUUUGUGCCUUCGGGAACUGUGAGACAGGUGCUGCAUGGCUGUCGUCAGCUCGUGUUGUGAAAUGUUGGGUUAAGUCCCGCAACGAGCGCAACCCUUAUCCUUU
rnacentral:rRNA from 1 species